rnacentral:rRNA from 1 species
GGGUAAAAGCACUGUUUCGGUGCGGGCUGCGAGAGCGGUACCAAAUCGAGUCAAACUCAGAAUACCCGUAGCACACAAUGCCAGUCAGACGGUGGGGGAUAAGCUUCAUCGUCGAAAGGGAAACAGCCCAGACCACCAGCUAAGGUCCCCAAAUGGAUGCUAAGUGAUAAAGGAGGUGGGAUUGCAGAGACAACCAGGAGGUUUGCCUAGAAGCAGCCAUCCUUAAAAGAGUGCGUAAUAGCUCACUGGUCAAGCGAUCCUGCGCCGAAAAUGAACGGGGCUAAGCAUCCUACCGAAGCUGUGGACUUGUAUUUAUACAAGUGGUAGAGGAGCGUUCUGUACGAGUUGAAGCGUUAGCGAGAGCAGGCGUGGAUUGUACAGAAGUGAGAAUGUCGGCUUAAGUAGCGAAAAUGUAGGUGAGAAUCCUACACCCCGAAAUCCCAAGGGUUCCUCCGGAAGGCUCGUCCGCGGAGGGUUAGUCGGGACCUAAGGCGAGGCCGAAAGGCGUAGUCGAUGGACAACGGAUUAAUAUUUCCGUACCUGAUUUGGAUUGUGGCGGGGGACGGAGAAGGCUAAGACAGCCGGAUGUUGGUUACCGGUUUAAGCAUCCGAGGUGAUGAGAGGCGGCGAAAACGUCUUGAGCUGAGGUGCGAGUACGACCCGUUACGACGGGGAAGUGUCUGAUGUCAUGCUUCCAAGAAAAGCCCGAACCACGUUAAUUCAAAUUGGCCCGUACCCCAAACCGACACAGGUGGGAAGGUAGAGUAUACCCAGGGGCGCGAGAUAACUCUCUCUAAGGAACUCGGCAAAAUGGCCCCGUAACUU